UUUAAUAUUAAAUGUUACAAGGAAAACUUCCCAGGCAACAGACCAAGUUGAGAUUAACAAGAUCGUUUUUAAGAGGCAUUUACAUUUAUAAUGUGAAUUUUUAAAACCAAAUAAUAAAAAACACUUUGACCAAUCUUUCCAUUAUGGCCACAAUCUACAUUUAGACCGAAUUAAAUAAAAGGCAGGAAGGCUGCCAGCAACCAGGCCAGGGGCAUGCAAAUGUCCAGUUCUGCAGUACACUGAUAGCAGCCAGAGAGCUGAGUUUAAAAGCACCACUUCAAAGCUUUUCUAGGAAAUAAUUGAACACUUAAUGAUUUUAAAGUUUCAUGACAGCUCUAAUGCCAAAUUGUGGUUUAAUUUAAUAUAUUUAGCUAAUGAUCAACAUGUAUGUCUGGAAGGUGCUUCUCUGUAUACGUGUAUUUGUGGCGCUGCUGCAGAGAUGUCUGGAACUAGAGAUGUGGUGGGACAGAGGGCUUGUCCCAGAACGAUGGGAUGGGCUGGAUAGGUGGGCUUCUCUGAUAAGGUGAGAAGUGCCGCUUUGCUAACAGAGUUAGUUUGACCUGUGUUAUUUGGUACCAACUGGUUACGCUUCCAAGUGAACUGAGAACAUGUCCUCAAAACACAGCAGAAGACCCAGACUUGCCUAUGGCAAAGAAGGAGCAGCUUCUGCUAAAGCAUUGUACAGUGACUUUGCUGCCUCUGCGUAAUGUAAGCUGGCUGUUGCCUCUCGGUGGAGGGUUCUCCAACAGCUAAAUUGAGAUCCAUAGUGACAUCCACAGACUGCUCCAGCAAACUGUCUCUUACGCAGCUCUGAGGUCACUUCUCCUCUCCCACCCACUGCCUCCGCUUACUGAGAUUAGUGAGUGUGCAGCACAUAGACAAUGUCUCUGUGGGUGAACACAGCAGAUGUAAAGCAGCUUGACUCUGGAGUCAAGUGAGAAAUAGUAAUUUGAGGAAGGAGAUAAAUUGGAUAAGAGGAAGCAACCAAUCCCAAUCUCAAAGUGCUGAACAUCCCUGUCAAAAUCACAGUUGUGUUUUCUCAGUGUACAGAUGUUAUUGGUGAGGAAGUACAAAAGUUAGGAUUCUCAAGGGAGAAGUGAGGAAAAUGUGAUUGAAGCCUUCGUGGUCAGCAAAGGUGUGAGAUAGAGCCUAGGAAAUGGUAAUUCCCAAUGUUUCAUGGAGAACUAGAUCAAAAUAAGUAGUUCUGUUCCAUACCAUCUGUAAUUCAAGGGUGGCCUUCAUUGCUGUGGGGCAAACAGGCAUGUGUACAUCCAUUAUCCAAGGCGAAGGUCACUAUGUGCUCCUCUUGCUUCUGUUCACUUCUCAUGCCCUGAGGGAGCUCCAGUUGCAUCACUUCUGUGUAGCCACAUUACAUUUGUCAUGACCUUUUACCUUUGUUCAUCACCUCUUCUGGUCUCAGGGCUAUCUCUGGCUUCUUCAGUACUCUUAUGAGUCAACCUUGAGAUAUGCUGAAUGGUUACCCACACAAAUGUUUAUAAAGUCAAUGGGGAACCUAUGCUUGCCUUAUGGAUAAAUAGGAGCUUUCAGCCUCUGGAUCUCUGAAAUAAAGCACAUGGCCUCAAAAGGCCCUCAAUCCAGUUGGUGGAAAAAUUCUCCACGGAACCUCAAUGAAGAAAAAUGUUUGAGAGCCUUGCAACAUGAAGAGGGGAAAAUUUCAGCCAGCCUGGUCUUGUAGAGGGAUUAAUUCUUCUUUAUAAAUUAGCCCCUUUGUACCUAUGAAACGUUUGAUCACAUUCCAAACUAUGGCAGUUAUUUGUGCCAACUGGGAAGCCAAAGAACAGAGGAAUGUCUGAUAUUUAAAUAUUUUACCAGGCUUUCUUCUAGGUUAAUAUUUUAUUAGCAGCAAAUAUACCUUUCUGUAAGAGUCUAAAUCUGCUUCUCACUGAGGUGAAAGCCAGACCACAGGUAGCCCUACAUUGAAGUUGUACAGCCAGCAGAGAGCACAAGAUCAGAGUUAUGGCAAGAGGAACAUCACUGGGUCUCUGAUAAGAUCAGCCAUGGAUACUGUGGAGUGAGCAGGAAGUCCCUUGAUCACGACACAUGUGGGACGGACAGAGGUGUAGAUGCCUCAUUGCAGUCUUAUCUGAGGACCAUGGCUCUUCUCCGCUCCCUCUUGGCACCCCAAGAUUAUCAGGAAGGAGCAGCUUCUCCAGAGUUGCCAGGGUAAAAAAUCCUGUCUAGCCCAGCAAGCUUCACCCUGCAUGGCUUCACACCAGGGAACAAGAAAGGAAUUCUUCUCUUUGAGACUCCAAAGGCUUCACCUAAAGCCACUUAAUGACCUUGCCUAGUCUGCCAUUGGUCCCACCCACCAGGGUUUAAGACAGAUGUUUUCUGCACUGCAGCUGUGAGGAGAGUUCAUACGUUCAAGUUUGCAAAGGAGUGAGGCCGCUGUGUCUGAAGUACAUCUGUUCCCAGUCAAAUGUUCAGCUGUGGCUGAGGGCAUGCAAAGCACUUCAGAGACAGUGCCUAUUAGGGCUAAUGGUCUAAUAAGAAACAAAGGCAUGUAAGUGGAUUUGUUCAUUUUAGGCAGAAUUCUCCUUAGUAGUCACAUUUGUUUUUAAAGUGACUUAAUUUUAAGACAUUUCUUGCGUGCUCUAAUUUGGACUGUAUUUAAGGGAAAUUAAGUAAACUAGUUGCUUCUGUCUCCUCAGCAAUGUUUUACAAUAUUGUCAAAGCUAUCAUGCUUUCUUACAAAAAUACCGCUAAAACAUUUUAGUACAAUUAAGUGCUGGGAUUCGUAUAAAUGAUACAUAUGAGAUUAAUCAUCUUUUUUUUUUUUAACUUGUCUAGAUGAAGACAUGGUAUCCAGCACUUCGCUCUUAGAUCAUUUUGCAACCAUGCCCUCUGAGCAGAACCAGUCUUUAAUCAAAUGCCUUUCAUUGUUUUUUUAGAGAAAAUAUGUCUUUCUGUAUCACUGGCUUUUGAAAGAUGAGAAAAAUAAAUGAAUUUCUCUGUGCGCUUGGGAGUCAUUGCCUUUGUCUAAUAUUCACAGAAUACAAAUUUCCUCCCAGUGAUGUAAAGAAGGAUUUUGUGAUCCUCCUUCUCUGUGCUCCAGCCAGUCUAUAUUGCUCUAAUUUUGAGUUUUGGCAAGGGCUUCUGCAAACCUGACAGAAGUUUUGCCCUGUGACUCCAGCCACAAAAGAAUAUGAGAGCAUUCUGACGCCUUCAUAGCAACAAGCCAUGGGACAAUGCACGCAGCAGUGUGAGGCAGUAAGAAUAGGAAGAUGUUGGGCACGUAGCAAUGUAUUUUUGCAUAUAUACAAAUAAACUUGUGAUGGGGGAGGAGAAGAGUUUAGGAAAGAUUUCCUUCAGCUAGAGCUGUACUUUUAACUAAAUCUCUCUAUAUAUCAUGGUAGAAAAAGAGCAUGUCACAAAGCCAAAUUGAUCAAGUAGCUGUUAAGCCAUUUAACAUAUCGAAAAUAUUUUUCCCCUCCAAGUCAUAGAAUCAUAGAAUCAUAGAAUGGCGUGGCUUAGAAGGGACCUCAAGGAUCAUCAAAUUCCAGCUUCCUCACCACAGCCAGGGUUGCCAACUGCUAGAUCAAGUACUAGAUCAGAUUACCCAGGGCCCC